AGGGGGCCAUCCCGGCUUACCAACCCGAUGCAAACUGCGAAUACCGGAGAAUGUUAUCACGGGAGACACACGGCGGGUGCUAACGUCCGUCGUGAAGAGGGAAACAACCCAGACCGCCAGCUAAGGUCCCAAAGUCAUGGUUAAGUGGGAAACGAUGUGGGAAGGCCCAGACAGCCAGGAUGUUGGCUUAGAAGCAGCCAUCAUUUAAAGAAAGCGUAAUAGCUCACUGGUCGAGUCGGCCUGCGCGGAAGAUGUAACGGGGCUAAACCAUGCACCGAAGCUGCGGCAGCGACGCUGAUGCGUUGUUGGGUAGGGGAGCGUUCUGUAAGCCUGUGAAGGUGGCCUGUGAGGGUUGCUGGAGGUAUCAGAAGUGCGAAUGCUGACAUAAGUAACGAUAAAGCGGGUGAAAAGCCCGCUCGCCGGAAGACCAAGGGUUCCUGUCCAACGUUAAUCGGGGCAGGGUGAGUCGACCCCUAAGGCGAGGCCGAAAGGCGUAGUCGAUGGGAAACGGGUUAAUAUUCCCGUACUUGGUGUUACUGCGAAGGGGGGACGGAGAAGGCUAUGUUGGCCGGGCGACGGUUGUCCCGGUUUAAGCGUGUAGGUGUGUGUUCCAGGUAAAUCCGGUUCACUUUAACACUGAGGCGUGAUGACGAGGCACUACGGUGCUGAAGCAACAAAUGCCCUGCUUCCAGGAAAAGCCUCUAAGCAUCAGGUAACAUCAAAUCGUACCCCAAACCGACACAGGUGGUCAGGUAGAGAAUACCAAGGCGCUUGAGAGAACUCGGGUGAAGGAACUAGGCAAAAUGGUGCCGUAACUUCGGGAGAAGGCACGCUGACAC
rnacentral:rRNA from 1 species